rnacentral:rRNA from 1 species
UACGGAGGGGACUAGCGUUGUUCGGAAUUACUGGGCGUAAAGCGCACGUAGGCGGAUUUGUAAGUCAGGGGUGAAAUCCCGAGGCUCAACCUCGGAACUGCCUUUGAUACUGCAAAUCUCGAGUCCGGAAGAGGUGAGUGGAAUUCCUAGUGUAGAGGUGAAAUUCGUAGAUAUUAGGAAGAACACCGGUGGCGAAGGCGGCCCACUGGUCCGGUACUGACGCUGAGACGCGAAAGCGUGGGGAGCGAACAGG